AUAUUAGGGCCUGAACAAAAGCCCACUGAAGUUAAUUGAAGUCUGUCCACUGAUUUCAAUGGGCUUUGGAUCAGGCCCUAAAAU
rnacentral:pre_miRNA from 1 species